rnacentral:rRNA from 1 species
AGUCACUGACAUUAGGUACCCGCGUAGUCCUAGCCGUAAACGAUACUCGCUAGGUGUCGGCCACGGUGCGACCGUUGUCGGUGCCGUAGGGAAGCCGUGAAGCGAGCCACCUGGGAAGUACGGCCGCAAGGCUGAAACUUAAAGGAAUUGGCGGGGGAGCACCACAACGGGUGGAGCUUGCGGUUUAAUUGGAUUCAACGCCGGAAAUCUUACCGGGACCGACAGCAACAUGAAGGCCAGGCUGAAGACUUUGCCGGAUUAGCUG